rnacentral:lncRNA from 1 species
GUCUGUUGCUGUUGCUGCCACGGAGAACGUGGUACAGCAGCAGCUGGGAGUAACAGAUCUCCCCUGUGUGACUGGUGACAGCAUCUUUGUAGAAAAUGUUGCAGUCUGAACAGCGAAUGCAGAUGACAAGAACAGUUCCUAAUUGAAACUUAUCGCAAUGUGAUGGAGAAUGGCUAUAAAAGAAGACAUGCCUCUUAACACUUUUCAGCAACAUCCAACAUUGUGGACAUCUGUUUCUCAUAAAAGUUUCAGAUUGCCAGGGAGAAUUCACAUACCUCUGUAGCCUUAAGCAUGGCUGAGACAAAUACAGCUUCUGCAUUACUUUCUCUGAAAAAAAGCAUGUGAAUAAG